rnacentral:lncRNA from 1 species
GUAUUCUGCACGGACUGCUGGGCAGCACUAGCACUCUGGAGAAGGUCUGCCGCUGUCUGCACUUUCCUGGUUCUAUGCAGGCAGAUGAGUGUCACAGCUGUAACUGAGGCACAGAGCAGUACACACAGUGGAGCCGAUUUCCGCGAUGGCGAGAGGGGGCACCGGAGGUGACAACAAUAACAAGACUGUCCUUCGGACAAGUUUUAGAUUCUCAGGAUGAUGGAGUGAGUGAUGGAAUAGGUUGCCAACUGUAGUUACUCCACUCAGCACAGAAUGGCUGCGGGGAAAUAUAAUCAGACAUGCCCAAAGAAGUCUGCUUAGGGUGAAACAAAUACCUUUGAGGUUUAAAUCAGGAAGGAGAGACUGUUUCUACAGGUGUCAUACAAAAAUCAAUACUGAGCCAAGGAUUAUUGGAUCCCAUAGAACCACGGAGACUUGGUAGUGAAAUUCUUCCAAAGCAUUCCAUCCGUGCAGGCAGAUGGUGUUCCUAGGUUUGGAAAUAUAAAUCCCAUGGGAAGUCAGCUGAAGACCAUUUUAUGCAUCACUCAUCCUGUUAGAGCCCUGUGCUGUUCUGUCUCUCUAUAAGACUGGCUGAAACCACCACGGUUGUUUACAAUUUAUGCUCUAACUUUGGAUCACCUAGUUAAUACUCUAACUCCGAUUAUUACCAAAGACAAUGUUCUAUAAAAGAUAUUGUCUAUUAGAAGGAUGCUUCUGCAUUAUUAAUAAAAUCACAGGGAAAAUGCAACAUUUUGGAUGUCACAUCUGAUAAGUGGGUGACUGAUCGUACCCGCCAGCUGGCUAAUGUCAUAAUUAACAAAGUUGCUACUACAUCUGCAAAGUUUAAUCGAAAAAUUUGCCAGUGAUAUGAUGGCCUUGUCACAGAGAUCACAAGGGACACGGAGUUGACUUUUGCUCAAGGUGGAACGACAGAGCUGUGUAGGCAAGAUGAGAAAUUGCGAACUUGUUCGGCCAAAGGAACGACUAUGCUCUGGAGAGUCCUGUAAUUUGCAGAAAAUGGACCAAGAUAACAUUUGAGUUCCAUGCUACCAAAAUCCUCUUGAGAAGGACAGCUAGCUACCCAGAAUAUUUAACAUUGUGACAUUGAAAUGUUGGAUGAACGAUUAAAAUGAAGAAUCUAGUCAUAGGUUGUAAGAAAUCGCUAAAUUAUUAUGUUUAAUCCAAAGAAGAGAAAGGAAAAGCUGUUUUCAUUCCCCCCAGCCUCUGAGGAGGCUAAUAAUGAAGGGGCCGGGAAGGAGGCCAGUGCUACCAGGGUUAUCUCACAACCUCAGAUGCUGGAUAAGUCGACGGAGGCAGAAUCGCUUUGGGAUGACAUUCAGAAAGCCUGGAGUGAUUACUUGCAAGAGAAAAGCCUACCUAUUCUUUCCAAGGUGCAGGAAUAUUCCCCUGACCUGCUCAUCCAGUGGUCCAGUAAUGAAUUACUGGAGACCUGCCUUAGACAAAGAAUGCACUCGGAGCCCCAACACACCUAAAGCCAUGCUUUGAAGGAUCUGCCAAGCUCACUUUUAAUCAUGAGAAAGAAAUUACCCACACGGAGUCAGCAGAAAAUGAGAAAGUAGAGCUCGUGCUGUGAAUAAUUCCAGCAAGUGCCAAGGGGCUAGUUGAGGAAUGGCUUCAUGAGAACAUGCUCUAGGGGAACUAUUAAUAGCCCACCAGUCGGGUAGGCAGCAUUCAAUCCUUCUAUGCCUUCUUUCGCCACCUGUUGAGGUCUUUCUUCUGAAACAAAGAAGAAAUAGACAAAUCAGACUUGCCCUCUUGGAAAUGUGGUCCAGAUUUCUCUACUCCCAAGCUCCAAAAAAGGUAUACAUUGGAUGGGCUAGAUCAACUCCUCCUGAGAGCCAUAAAUCCGCCAAGAGUUGUUUUCCAUGUAAGGGUGUGGUACAAUGGGGAACACCUGAUGUUGGAGGAAAGCAGGAGGACUUUAGAGUGGAGUUGCAUUCUAAUCUCUCUGCCGCUUCAACUAUGUGACCUGGGGCAAAUGAUAUAAACUCUAUGAGCCUCUUUCCUUAUCUUUAAAAUGAAGAGAAGUAAUACCUACCUUGUAGGGCUGUUGUGAGGAUUAAAUGAAGUAAUGCAUACAGUGCCUAACAAAGUAUUUAACAUCAUAUUUUUUAAAAGCUCAUGAAAUAUUAGUUUUUCUUCCUUCCCCUCUUUCUAUUUUCUCUCCUGUUCCCUUUUCUCUCCCUCCUCUGCCCUCUCCUUCCUUCAGAUGUUAGUCUAAAACAGCACCUUGGAUCUAAGCAGCACCUUUGAGAAAGAAAAGACUGCUUCAAGAAUGUCUAGUUGCACCUCCUUUCCGUAUGUGGCCUAAAUGCCUAGGUUGGAUCAAUAGUUUAAUUUUUUUAUUGAACUGUUUAAUAUUGACUAUGGACUUACAUUCACUUUUACUGUUUUCUGUAUAUUUACUUUUGCUUGAAGUGUUUUAAUAUUGACUAUUUACCUCUGCUCAUUUUUAUUGAUUUUCUGUAUUUUUUCAAUGAAAAUUAUAAUAAAAAUUAUUUUUGUUA